rnacentral:rRNA from 1 species
GACGAACGCUGGCGGCGUGCUUAACACAUGCAAGUCGAACGAUGAACCCGGAGCUUGCUCCGGUGGAUUAGCGGCGAACGGGUGAGUAACACGUGAGUAACCUGCCCUUGACUCUGGGAUAACUGCGGGAAACUGUAGCUAAUACCGGAUACGACCCUCGGCGGCAUCGCCAGGGGGUGGAAAGAAUUUCGGCCAAGGAUGGACUCGCGGCCUAUCAGCUAGUUGGUGAGGUAACGGCUCACCAAGGUGACGACGGGUAGCCGGCCUGAGAGGGUGACCGGCCACACCGGGACUGAGACACGGCCCAGACUCCUACGGGAGGCAGCAGUGGGGAAUAUUGCACAAUGGGCGCAAGCCUGAUGCAGCAACGCCGCGUGAGGGAUGACGGCCUUCGGGUUGUAAACCUCUUUUAGUAGGGAAGAAGCGAAAGUGACGGUACCUGCAGAAAAAGCACCGGCUAACUACGUGCCAGCCGCCGCAGUAA